GAAGUGCAAUUGCCAUCAUCAGGAAGUGGAAGGUCCAAGAGGAGGCAACAUUCCUCUGGAAGAAGCUUGGGGAAUCUUGAUCCAGUUGAUGAAGACUUUCCAUUGGAGCAAGAAGUGAGGGACUUCAAGAUGAGAAGGCUUUCAGAUUUUGGGCCAACUCCUGACCUUCUGGAAGAAACCGAACCGACUCAAACCCCAUAUGAGAAGCGCU